rnacentral:lncRNA from 1 species
CUAAAUCAAAAGGAAAGACAACAAUUGAUCCUGUAGAGGCAAUUGAUGAUGCAUAGAUUUGAGACGAUGAUAGUGAGACAUUCGAACCGAUGAUAGUGAGAUAUUUGAAUCCUCAGAUCUUGGAUUGUCUAGAUCAUCUCAUGAUAAUAGCAAUGAUGAUAGUAAUAAUAGCAAGAGUGCUGAUGGAUUUGAUGAUCAUGAUGGUU